rnacentral:rRNA from 1 species
UACGGGGGGAGCAAGCGUUGUUCGGAUUUACUGGGCGUAAAGGGCGCGUAGGCGGCCAACUAAGUCGGAUGUGAAAUCCCCAGGCUCAACCUGGGAACUGCAUCCGAUACUGGAUGGCUUGAAUCCGGGAGAGGGAUGCAGAAUUCCAGGUGUAGCGGUGAAAUGCGUAGAUAUCUGGAGGAAUACCGGUGGCGAAGGCGGCAUCCUGGACCGGCAUUGACGCUGAGGAGCGAAAGCCAGGGGAGCAAACGGG